GUCACCGUGGGGAGCGCGGCCUCGUCGGCCGAGAGCCGGCGUGCGCCGCGGGGGAGCGUGGCGCGGGAGGUGCGGUGCCGCUCGGCGGCA
rnacentral:tRNA from 1 species